AUUGAACGCUGGCGGCAUGCUUUACACAUGCAAGUCGAACGGUAACAGCACUUCGGUGGCUGACGAGUGGCGAACGGGUGAGUAAUACAUCGGAACGUGCCUAGUAGUGGGGGAUAACUACUCGAAAGAGUAGCUAAUACCGCAUGAGAUCUAAGGAUGAAAGCAGGGGACCUUCGGGCCUGGCGCUACUAGAGCGGCUGAUGGCAGAUUAGGUAGUUGGUGGGAUAAAAGCUUACCAAGCCGACGAUCUGUAGCUGGUCUGAGAGGACGACCAGCCACACUGGGACUGAGACACGGCCCAGACUCCUACGGGAGGCAGCAGUGGGGAAUUUUGGACAAUGGGCGCAAGCCUGAUCCAGCAAUGCCGCGUGCAGGAUGAAGGCCUUCGGGUUGUAAACUGCUUUUGUACGGAACGAAAAGCCCUCUUCUAAUACAGGAGGGUCAUGACGGUACCGUAAGAAUAAGCACCGGCUAACUACGUG
rnacentral:rRNA from 1 species